rnacentral:tRNA from 1 species
GGCAGCAUAGUGCAAUGGUUUGAGUGCUGGACUAGGACUCCAGGAGACCAGGGUUCAAAACCCUGCUCAGCCA